CGGCAGCGGGAAAACUACUUGGCUCAUCUGGGUUACUUGUUUGGUAUCUUGAUCCUUAUUAUCAGCUCCAAAGGACAUCCAAUAGCAUUGGCAAUAUCCUGUAUUAUUUGAGAAUCUGUGGGACCACAUUAGCCAACAACUCCUGAAAAGAUCUGACUGCCAACAAAACCUACAGAAUGUGCCAGACACCUCCUGUCUAGAUAGCAGAGCUAGUUCCGUCUCAAGAGCUGCCAGGAAAAUUUUGAAGAGAAAGGAAAACCAGAACACAAGAAGCAGAAGCAACAGAUCCCGAAGACAAGAGAAGCAGCAGGUCAUUCUGGCAGUUUCGUCUCCACCUGGCUUUCCUUAGGCUGGCCUCAAUUUCGCUUGCCAGCUCUCAUAUGCUGUGACAUAUAAACAGCCUUGAAAUAAGUCCCAUUUCACUUGAACAUUUGGAGUGAAAAUUUUGGUAGUCAAAAGAAGUAGAAUUAGGGCUGAGGACACAACUCGAUCUGUAAAGCACUUGCUGCUCUAGCAUGGGGGUCCUAAGCUAUAUCCUCAGAAACCACAUAAAAGAGGUCAGGCAUGGUGACAGAUGCUUAUAAUACAGCACUGAGGAGGCAGAAACAGGAGGAUCUGGUUUCCAGUGGGAGAUUCUAUCUCGAAAACUAAAAUAAAAUGAAAAUACAGUGGACAAUGUUCGAGGCAGAGCAAUUCCUAGACACAUGCACCAACAGUGUACACAAAAACACAAGAAGAGAGAGAGAGUGGGAGAGAGAGAGAGAGAGAGAGAGAGGAAAGAAAGAAAGGAAGGAAGACAGACAGUGAGAUGGGAGGGAGGGAAGGAGGAGAAAUUAAGAAAAAUAAGCAUAAUACAGUGACAUCAUUGUUAUAGAGUAAGGAUAUUCAAGACAGCUCAGAAAUGUUCAACUAUGGAGAUGUAUAAUUGUAAAUAAGAAAGAAAGCACAAGGGCUUAUGGAGCACAUCUGUGUGCUAGGCUCUGGUUUGAGUGCUAGGGACAUUAAGAUAAAUACUCCUCUACUUCAAAGAAACUAAAAAUUGAAAUACAUGAAAACACAGAGCUCAAAUUUUUUUUACUUAAAUGCUGCUGUUGAUGCUGUCUUUUAGGUAGCUUGAAUCUUUGAAGACAUGGCGGGUCUUCUCUCUAAAUGCUGCCCAGAAAAUAAAUCCUUUUGUGGUGA